AUUGAACGCUGGCGGCAGGCUUAACACAUGCAAGUCGAGCGAGCGGCGGACGGGUGAGUAAUGUCUGGGAAACUGCCUGAUGGAGGGGGAUAACUACUGGAAACGGUAGCUAAUCCCGCAUACCAUCAGAUGUGCCCAGAUGGGAUUAGCUAGUAGGUGGGUUAAAGGCUCACCAAGCAGACGAUCCCUAGCUGGUCUGAGAGGAUGACCAGCCACAAUGGAACUGAGACACGGUCCAGACUCCUACGGGAGGCAGCAGUGGGGAAUUUUGGACAAUGGGCGCAAGCCUGAUGCAGCCAUGCCGCGUGUGUGAAGAAGGCCUUCGGGUUGUAAAGCACUUUCAGCGAGGAGGCGGUACUCGCAGAAGAAGCACCGGCUAACUCCGUGCCAGCAGCCGCGGUAAUAC
rnacentral:rRNA from 1 species